UUGAUGACCCCUUGAGAUCCCUUCCAGUUCUAGUCUUCUGGGAUUCUAGGUCUUCCAAUAUGGCUACAGAAAAAGGUUAAAAAGGUUGAAGGCCACUAGCCUAAGACCAGAGCUGUCAGGACUCCACUGCACGAUGUGACGUGCAGCAGCGAAGAUCCAGAGAGACUGACCUUGCUUGGCCAACAGGGAGAGUCUGCCUGUAGUAGGAUUGGAACCACACACUGAAAGCAGCAGAGAGGAAGAAGUGCCAGUUGUUUACUCUCUCCAUGCCAGAAAGUGGUUGCCAGAUCCCUUUCCCAUCUAAUAUAUAAAGGAGAAUGUUGCUCUCCAAGGCUUUUACUUUGCUUCAUUUACAGAUGGAGAACCAGAGCACAGAGAGAGCAUGCUUUCUCCUGGGAUAAGCCACCAAUACUGGAAGCAGUGAAAGCACAAACAGCCCAGAUCCUGUGACGAUUACAUUUGAUCAGGAGGAAAAGGAGAAGAGAGAUGCAUCGUGCCCUACCGCAGCCUCUCUUAUUUCCACCACCUGCGUGUCCCGCAGAGUGCGAUUUUGAGCAGUGGGUGUCAGACAGCAAAACUAAAGCACACCUGAAAGGUGCGAUGGUCUCCGUGUCCAGCUAGACAGCUGUCGUUUUGUAACCACUCCUGGGCGCAGUGUGUCGAUGCCACUUUCAGUUCAUGAAAUCCUUUGUGUAAAGACAUAAUCCUCUGUGACGUCAGAACCAGCUUCUUUGGAAACGACCAAGAAAUCACCAAGCUACAGGUGGGAGAAAAGUGGGAGGAGCAGAUGAUGUGGUUAGCACUUCACUGGUGCCUUCCGUGCCAGGAUCCCGAGGGGUUUUAUAAGUAGUCACAAGAGGCUGAGAAAACAGAGGUUGAGAGGGGAAGUGGCUUGUUUAUCUCACUCACUUUGUGACUGAACAAGGAAUAUGGAACCUAGCAUCCGAAUUUGAACUGGAAAAGGGGAGAGAGGAGUGCUGAAGUUGUUUGAGGCCACUUUUGAACUCCCUAUAUUCAGGAUCUGUUAAGGGCCCAGUACAGGACCAGGAGUAAGCUGGAGCAGCCUCAGGGCUGCUCCUACGUAGGCCAGGUCUACAAUGGGGAGAAAGUUGACUCUAGAUACGCAAAUCCAGCCAUGCAAAUAGGGUAGCUAGAGCUGACGUAUCUUAAAUCAAAUUUCUGCAGCAUCCCCAUUGUGGGAGGUCGAUGGAAGAAACUCUCCCUUCAACUUCCCUUACUCCUCAUAGAAUACCAGGAUCGAUGGGGGUCGCUGUCAAUGGUUGAUUUAGUGAGUCUUUUCUAGACCCACUGAAUCAAACCCCGGAAGAUUGAUCUCUGGAGCGUCAGUAUUGCGGUAAGGGUAGACCUGACCUUAUUCUGCUUCCCUUGCCCCUCUGUGGGUGCCGGGAGGCAGAGAAUGAUGACGCCCUGUGCACCGAGGAUAAUGACACCCCUUAUACUUGGGGAUGAAAGCAGGCUGGAGUAGGUCCAACACUGGCCUGGGAGGCCCACUGCACUGGGCUUAUCACAGGGCUCUUCCCACCCCCUUUACACUGUUAGAGCAACAUAAAAGGGUCUUAGUGUAAAGGAGAAUCAUGCCCCGGGUCUCCGGACUCCCAGACUUUCAUCGCUAGUGCCCACUUCCUCUCUGUGCGCUGUGCAAAAACACAAAGUCCUGCUUUUACACGGCACCUAGGAAUAACAAGAAAAGAAUGGAUAAGGAGCAUGGAACAUACGAUAAUGUGCAAGAUAAACCAUUUCUAAUCUAAAUACCACAUUUUGCAUAAGGCAAUAGUGUAGGCAGCUGCCCAAAAUAUUAAAUCAGUCGAGAUAAUGUUGAGAAUUUACCCUAAUGAGCUAUGGCUGCUGUAGCUUCAUGGAACAGUACAGAGAGAGGUUUUGAUGGCUGAUUGUUAUUGUCCAUAGCAGUUUUAUUUCAGGUUUGCUAUGCUAGUUAUAAAUGACAUGGUUGGGUUAAUUGACUUUGCAGCCCACUGAGAUGCAAAGAAAGACCGAGUAUUUAUACCGCAAUGUGACUUUUGUUGGGACAAAUACCCAGUUUUGGAAAAAAAAAAAAAAAAAAAAAAACACCCU